UUGGUUAGAAAUCAUCCAGGCCAUCACCGCAACGGCGAUGGCAUCAAGCCCGCGACGCCGGCAGCGGGCCGUUAAUGGCAGAGCAUUCUGCCCGACCUCAACCCGAGGUCUCCAGGGACAUUACAGUCAAC
rfam:Pseudomonas lutea strain DSM 17257 Contig001, whole genome shotgun sequence.